CAAUGGUCUAUGGUGUUACCUCCUCAAGCUGAUGAACGAAACCAAGGUUUUGCAUUUCCCAGUAUUCCAUACCAAAGCCAGAUGCCUGAAAAUAUACAAAAGCAACAAGGAUAUACAAACAAUUUAAUUUAAAAUUACCACAAGAAAAAUGUGUGUGCAUGGCAGGGAGAUCAAUAGGCUACGGUGAGUCCGCUCUGAUUUUGGAGUGGACGUGGCAAAAUGAGGAGUGGUAAAUUGUUUUUCUUCAAGAAAACGAAAGCCCUAGCCGCGAAGCUUCGGUUGUUGCUGAUUUUGGCGGGUGAGAUUUGAGAGAGAGCGCGAGAAAUCGAUGGGUAAAGGGGAAGCAGAGGAGGAAGGGCCUACUUUCAGGGAUACAAGGUGAUAUCAUUGUGUGUACUGUGGCGUCUGCAGGUCCAAAAAGAACCUGAUUGCUUCUCACAUCCUCACUCACCACAAGGUUUCAGUCCUUUUUAAUUUUGGUUUUCUACGGUCCAGUUAUGAAUUUUUAUGAAUUGGGUUUUCGAAUUUGAGGGAUUUACUGUUGUGGGUUCAUUUGGUUUUUGUAUUUUAAACAAAAUCUGAAGCUGGGUUGUCUUCAGAUUGAUUAUGUUAAUUUUUACUUAUAAUUUGCUUACUUUUGUUACCGGAAGAGAUGGAAAUGGCCAAAGAGGCUGAUGGGGAUGGGGAAGGAGAGAGGGAAAAAUCCAAUACUUGCCAAGAAUGUGGUGCUACUUUUAAGAAAGUGUCUGAAGUUGUCUUAAGGAAACCAGCGGCAGCUUGUAUAGCUUGAUGUUGCUACCGAUUAGUUUGAUAGCUUCAUUACAGCUGAUUGUGUCUAUAACUUUCCUUACUUUUCCGGUGAACGUCCUGUAAUUUUCGCAUCAAUUGAAGAUAAGUAAACGACGACGAUUGGGUGUUGUAACCUGGAAAGGGCUGCGAUUGUGGCAGAACCGGUUCAGAGUUGAGACGAAUCAGAACGACGGCUCUGUUGUACCUUAGGCUGAAAAGUAAGAGCUCCGUCGGUUCUGGGUUUGAAAAAUCCUGGUUAAUUUUGAGGUAAUUCUUAAUAGUCAUAUUUUGUAACCCUAAUUUUUAACAAUUUCUGGGGCGUGGGGUUUUCUUGGCUCCGGUUGUGUAGACGCUAAUAGGGUUUGGCUCAAACUUUCAUUGUAUUAUCAAUCUUUUUCGUAAUUUAAUGAAGUUAAAAAUUGAAAAUUAGAAUUGGAGGUUAAUGAUUGUUGUUCAUAUAUUUCACUGACAUUGCGGAAGAAGACAUAGUAAUCUUUCUCGGUGUCUGUCAAUUUAAGCUGUGUUGCUUGAAUUGAAUUUUAGACAACUCCUUUAAAUUUUGGAUCACCAUUCUCAAUUUCAUUCACCAUUUUCAAAGUGUUUAAUGAAACCAAGAAGUUGGGAUAGUUUUCAGAGGGACCUUUGAGCUCUGCUAGUUGUGAAGUAUUUGGCAUCGCUGUAUCAGCAUGAAUGUUGUACACGGGCACUCGUAUUGCUUCUAGGAAAAUCUAAAUUUUUACAAUGUUCUGAUGAGCUGUAUUUGGCAUCUGUUUAAGUUUUAAACUUGUGCAGAUGUUUAAGCCUAGGCUUUUCCUUCUGGGGCUGGUUGGUUCUUAUGGGGCAAAUGGGAUGUCAUACAUGGACAUUUUGUUUAGGACUUCCAUAUCAAUAUUUUGUCUGAGUUUGUCAUCUCUUGUUUUGCAAGCGUGUAUUGCUUUCUCCAUUCAGUUGGGUUGUAUUUGGAAUGAUAUAGAUAUCACUAGAUUAUGGUGUGCUUCAUAUCUUAUUGAUAGUUUUUGGGGUUCUAUUCACUUGGUGUUCUGGUGCCCUCUGAUGCUCAUGUGUUCUUAGUGCUUUGUGUGGAUGAAGAUAAGUGAGUUCCAUUGACUCGGCUCUACUCUGUUUCUUGCUGUUCCUGAAAUUCAUCCCUCUUAAUUGUGCAAUCAUUUCUUUCGUUUAAUGCGGUGUUGGUGAAUUUUAUUUUUAAUCGUGAGUUAAGGCUUGAAUUUAUGUUCCUUCUUUGAUUUUAUUUUGCCUUGGCUUUUGGUCUGGUCUACUUUCUGAGAAGCGAGUUAGGAUCUGGUUACAUGCUUAUGUUGGUUGGAAGCUUUGAAAUCUUACUAUUUUGUGAAAUUGAUGCAAUGCAAAGCUGAAAAUAAAUUCUAACUGGUUUUGAUAGGAGAUAUUUCCUAGUACAUGGUUUUAUUGCUUUCUCCUCUGGUUGUUGAUUUAUGCAGUGAUGCAGUAUGCAAUCUUAUUGGGAUUUGGCUUUUAAAUUAGUUUUCAUAUAUGUACUGUUAUUGUAUCAAUAUUAAAGAAUUCUCUGUUGUCAUCUCCAGGUUCUUGACAGGAUUUAAUCGAUUCAGAUGAUUAACGAUGCGCUCUUAUGCCUGGACCAUAGUGAUUUAUAUAGCCUUGACGUCGACCUGCGUCGGUGAUAUAUUUGGUGACUUGAGGUUUGAUGACACCAAUUUCUUUGGUUAUAGUUGGAGUGUAUUAGAG
rnacentral:lncRNA from 1 species